GAUGAAGAACGCAGCGAAAUGCGAUAAGUAAUGUGAAUUGCAGAAUUCAGUGAAUCAUCGAGUCUUUGAACGCACAUUGCGCCCCCUGGUAUUCCGGGGGGCAUGCCUGUCCGAGCGUCAUUGCUGCCCUCAAGCACGGCUUGUGUGUUGGGCCGUCGUCCCCCUCCUAGGGGACGGGCCCGAAAGGCAGCGGCGGCACCGCGUCCGGUCCUCGAGCGUAUGGGGCUUCGUCACCCGCUCCGUAGGCCCGGCCGGCGCUUGCCGACGACCAUCAAUCUCUUUCUCCAGGUUGACCUCGGAUCAGGUAGGGAUAGCCGCUGAACUUAAGCAUAUCAAUAAGCGGAGGA
rnacentral:misc_RNA from 1 species